UCGAGGAUCUUCGGCAAUGGGCGCAAGCCUGACCGAGCGACGCCGCGUGUGCGACGAAGGCCUUCGGGUUGUAAAGCACUGUCGAGGGGGAGAAAAGCCCGCAAGGGUGUGAUCUAUCCCUGGAGGAAGCACGGGCUAAGUUCGUGCCAGCAGCCGCGGUAAGACGAACCGUGCGAACGUUGUUCGGAAUCACUGGGCUUAAAGGGCGCGUAGGCGGGCUGCCGCGUCCGGGGUGAAAUCCUCCCGCUCAACGGGAGAACGGCCUCGGAUACGGGCGGCCUCGAGGGGGGUAGGGGCAUCUGGAACUGUGAGUGGAGCGGUGAAAUGCGUUGAUAUUCACAGGAACUCCGGUGGCGAAGGCGAGGUGCUGGACCCCAUCUGACGCUGAGGCGCGAAAGCCAGGGGAGCGAACG
rnacentral:rRNA from 1 species